CCUACGGGAGGCAGCAGUGAGGAAUAUUGGUCAAUGGACGCAAGUCUGAACCAGCCAUGCCGCGUGCAGGAAGACGGCUCUAUGAGUUGUAAACUGCUUUUGUACGAGGGUAAACUCACCUACGUGUAGGUGACUGAAAGUAUCGUACGAAUAAGGAUCGGCUAACUCCGUGCCAGCAGC
rnacentral:rRNA from 1 species